rnacentral:rRNA from 1 species
UACGUAGGGUGCGAGCGUUGUCCGGAAUUAUUGGGCGUAAAGAGCUCGUAGGCGGUGUGUCACGUCGGUCGGUGAAAACCUGGGGCUUAACUCUGGCUUGCGGUCGAUACGGGCAUCACUUGAGUUCGGCAGGGGAGACUGGAAUUCCUGGUGUAGCGGUGAAAUGCGCAGAUAUCAGGAGGAACACCGGUGGCGAAGGCGGGUCUCUGGGCCGAUACUGACGCUGAGGAGCGAAAGUGUGGGGAGCGAACAGG